rnacentral:rRNA from 1 species
GAGCGGAACGAAGAUAGCUUGCUAUCAGGCGUCAAGCGGCGGACGGGUGAGUAAUGCUUAGGAAUCUGCCCAGUAGUGGGGGAUAGCCCGGGGAAACUCGGAUUAAUACCGCAUACGCCCUUUUGGGGAAAGCAGGGGAUCUUCGGACCUUGCGCUAUUGGAUGAGCCUAAGUCGGAUUAGCUAGUUGGUGGGGUAAAGGCCCACCAAGGCGACGAUCCGUAGCUGGUCUGAGAGGAUGAUCAGCCACAUCGGGACUGAGACACGGCCCGAACUCCUACGGGAGGCAGCAGUGGGGAAUAUUGGACAAUGGGCGCAAGCCUGAUCCAGCCAUGCCGCGUGUGUGAAGAAGGCUUUCGGGUUGUAAAGCACUUUCAGUGAGGAGGAAGGCUUUCAGAUUAAUACUCUGGAGGAUUGACGUCACUCACAGAAGAAGCACCGGCUAACUCCGUGCCAGCAGCCGCGGUAAUACGGAGGGUGCAAGCGUUAAUCGGAAUUACUGGGCGUAAAGCGCGCGUAG